UAAUGGUUAGUUGUUUUUUUGUUUUCCUUUGUAAACAUCAGAUAUUUUAUCGAGCCAAAUUUAAAUUCAGGGGGAGAGAUAUUAUAGAUCAGGCGUUCGGACGCUCGCUGUUUUGGACUAAUGCUCGGAUCCGGAGUGGCAUGUGUCCUCAAUAAAUCAUCCCUGUGAGCGGUCAAGCGAGCGACAAUAUCCAACAUUUAGGAUGGUUUUCUUGUUGGACGCCGAUGCCGAGAGAAGAACCGGGCAAGGCGGCGAUCCAGAUCCAGAUCCAGCAGCGGCGACAAGUAGAGAGAUGGACCAGACGCAGCGGCUGCCCGAGGACCUGCACGCGGACGUCCUCCGCUGUCUUCCACCGCGCAGUCUUGCUGCAGCCCGCUGCGUGUGCCGCUCCUGGCACGCCAUCGUCGACGCCCAUCGUCUCCUGGACCGGGACCUCCUCCCGCUCUCCUUGGCCGGCUUCCUCAUCAACUUCUGUGAGCUUGACUUCACGGAGUUCUUCUUCGACCCCUCAGCAAUCCGCGGCUACGCCGACCUCCACUUCAUGCCCACGGACGACAUCUCUGUGGAUGAUGUAUGCAACGGCCUAGCUUUGCUAGAUCAUUAUGUGGUCAAUCCCGCCACUCGACGUUGGGCAAGCCUGCCCCCACGCCCAUCUCCUCCCCUGGGGUUUGGCGAUGGCCUCCGUCGCCAUACAUGAUGCAUGUUUUCUCUUCAGAAACAACAAGGUGGGAAGAGAGAUCGUUCAUCCGACAGGGAGAUGCCCUGGGGACUCUUGCCGACAUGUUACUGCUUGAGCUGCCAAUGCCAGAUGAACUAUACGCUGUGUACUGGCAUGGAGAAAUCUACGUGCACUGUCAUUUUGUUAUGAGAAUAUCGUUAUCAAGUGGCACGUACCAAGCAAUUAAACUGCCAACAGAUGUUGAUCAGCACCGGUGGGCACAGGUUCUUCUUGGGAGAUCAGAGAAGGGGGUGUAUUUUGCAGCACUUGAUGGUCAAUGUCAUCUUCGAGUUUGGAUACUCACUGAAUGCUGCGGUCAGAGUGAGUGGUUUCUGAAGCAUGAUAACAACCUUCACCAAAUCCCACCACCUCAAAACUAUGAUCCACAAGUUCACAGGCCCUGCUGGAUUAUGGCAGAUAUCAAUCCAGCUAUUUACAGUACAGUAAAAAAGAAGUUCGAGUUGAAUUCAGACCAUGAGAUAAUCUUUGAAACUAGACUUGAAGGGCGCAGGUGGGAUGAACAUAUUAAGAUCCUUGGAUUUCAUCCUUACAAAGAAAUAAUUUAUUUCAGUGAAACGUUGAACAGAGGAUAUGCCUAUCAUCUAGAUGAACUCAAGCUAGAAGACUUGGGCAACAUGCGCCCAAAAGGAUUGGAUGACUGCUAUAAUAAGGAACUAGAAAGAUCUAUUCCAUAUACACCUUGUUUGUUGGGCCCAUAAUAAGGAAGUAGAUAAUUGAUUGACAAGCUUGUCGGGGAUUUCCAACGGAAGCUAUGCAUACACAUGAUGCAUACGUCUCUGUCCCUCGAGCUGCUUCACUUCCCAGCAUAGUCUAUGAAAGAGUUCAGUUUCAUUUUUCAUUUACAUUUUAGUGUCUCAUGUACUGUUGCUCAGUUAUAGCUAGAUCUACCAUUACCAUGAGCGGCCAUGGGUUCAGUUGUAAGGAUAAGAUCCAAAUUAAGACUUUUGUUCGACAAAUAAUGCAAGAAAUGUUGUGGUU